rnacentral:rRNA from 1 species
GACGAACCGUGCAAACGUUGUUCGGAAUUACUGGGCGUAAAGGGCGCGUAGGCGGCACAGCAAGUCGGGAGUGAAAGCCCGGGGCUCAACCCCGGAAUGGCUUUCGAAACUGCUGAGCUAGAGUACAGAAGGGGCAACCGGAAUUCCCAGUGUAGCGGUGAAAUGCGUAGAUAUUGGGAAGAACACCUGAGGCGAAGGCGGGUUGCUGGGCUGAUACUGACGCUGAGGCGCGAAAGCCAGGGGAGCAAACGGG